UGAGACAUUUAUAUUGAGCUUUGACUGAGAGGUUGUCAACAACCACAUCACUUUCUUCACAUCUGCCUGAUGUUUGGCAGUUACUACUGCUUCAACAUACACUACCUGGUGUUUAUUUUCAAUAAAUCCUGGAAGAAGAGUAAAAAAGUGUUAUUGGUCAAUCCCAGAGUCUUGACACUGAUCUCAGACCUUGCCAACCAUGAGUGGACCUACCAGUGAUGUUGAGGGAUGAUGUGAUAAAAGGAGUUUCUUCUCAUCUACAGAGGCACCAAAGUUGAGUGUAAAAAGAAGAAAAUAAUCACUGGCUUUUUCAAACUGGUCUUAUUUUGACUAUUUAACUGAAGUAUCAGGUCCAAUACCAAUAUCAGCAUCUGGAUUUAUGCCUCCCAGAUUUUUAACCUAAUCCAUUAAAGUACUGUAUAUUUACUCACUUCUUUACUAUCAAAUCAAAGUGUAACGAGUUAUACCAUCUAGUGAUUAAAAUGCAUAAAACAUAAGAGUUAAAGAGAGGUUUAUCUAAAAAGGAUAAAUGACAGAAACUUGAGAAU